AGCACCAACCCCAUUUGGGAAGCAAUCUUCUUCUUGAUGGAUUGAGACGCAAGCUUGUUUCACACUACUUCCAAAUAAGUGUGUAGAGCCAUAUUUUUUUUAUUUUGCAUUCUGACAUAUUAUACAUUAUCAACCAGUUUUCUUCAAAAGAAAGACCUGAACCAGCAGUGUAAGAGGCUUCACAGGACAAAAGGGAUUUUAAUUUGAAGAAAGAGAGGAAGAGAGAAAAUGACAAAGGGAAGAGAACUAACGGGCGGGAAGGGUGAGAGACAAAAGGAAAAGAUAAGAGAGAAGCACAAAAGGUGGUGGCGUCUCACAGGUCAGAAGAAGCUGCGUGAUGGGAGGUUAAGAGUAUGAACCUUACCAACAGGUAAAAAUGUGUCAUAUUAAUUUUUUCAACAUCAACAAACACGUCAAAAGAUGGAGCACUGAAAGCUGCAUUUUAAACAAAUGCCCCAGGUAAUGUAUACUGAAAAUGCAAUCCUGAUGUCCUAGGUGGCAGGAUUAUUGUUGUUGGAGAAUGCUCCUGUAAAUUUCUUUUCCAGUCUUCUCUCCUCACUUUCCAUGCCUAAGGAGUCUAAGUCCCACUGCCCCUGCUAAUUGUCCCUGGUUAAUUAGAAUGGAGAAUGACCCCUGAACCAACAUGGGCCCAUGAGCCGCACUGGUGAAUUGUCAUUCAGACCCAAAGGCUAGUCAGUCUCCCUGGGCAUUGAGAAGCAACAGAAAGCAAGUAUGUUCUUUGAUUACAGACUAAUUUUCUAGCCCCAGAGUUGGAACUAAAAUAUGCAGAUAGGAUAGUGGCAAGAGACAGACAAAUGCCUAGGCAGAUAAGGGGUGUCCCUGGAGAACCUCUGACCUGCCCAGGUCAUUGUGCACCAGGGUUUUGCCUAAACAUGCCCAUGGUGAAAAAUUUCAUCCCUUAACACAUGCAGUGUACAGUGGCUCAGACUAAGGGCCUGCAGGCACAUUGGAAAGACAGGGUAGAGCCACCAAAAAUUCGCUCCUUAUGCAGGGGAAGAGCCUGGCCUCCAGCUUGUGUGUGGUGGCCUGGUAUUCAAUUUGUGAGAUGGAAACCUGUGUCCAGGACCCCUCUCUUUGCUGACAGCUUUCCUUUCGCUUAAUAAAUUCCAUCCUCCUCACCUGUCAAUGUGUCCACAUGCCUAAUUUUUCCUGGUUUGAGACAAGAACCCGGAUUUAGCUCAACUAACAAGCAAAAAAUCCUGCAUCAGAUCUACAGAUAGAUAGACAUAGAUCUAGAUAUAGAUACAGAUACAGGUGUAGACACAGAUGUAGAUACAAAUACAGAUAAACGUAUCUUUACAGAGAACACACCCACAUAGUAUGAGUAAAACAAAAAAUUAACACCACUCCCCACGCCAAGUGUGUAAAAAGAGGACACUAGCUUAAGAGAAAUAAAGUCUUGUGGCUUAUUUCCCAGGAAGAUGAUAGUGUAUGCCAAAAAUGGAUGUAAUAUUUAGUCUCAGUUGAGAUUGCCUGUCUUACAUUUAAGGCAGAUGGGCUUCAACUACUAUAGCAGAUAGUUGGUGACCUAAGGCAGAAAGCUUUGUUACAAGGUGGCAGAUGGAAGGAGAGAGGUACAAACUCCCAAAAAUGACUCUCCCAGAGUCUCUUAAAAUACUCCUGGACAGGGAUGAUCAUCUUUGGCCCAUUUGCCAAGAAAAACUGAGAACAGAUUCCAUAAAGAAAAAAUUAAACAGAUAUGAGUAGAGAAAUGUGUCCUGCCCUUGGUUUGUAUGAGAUAUCAUAGAUUCCUCCUAAAAAAUCCCUUGCCUUGAUUUUUUUUCUUGAUAUCACAUGUGUAGUUUUCUGUUCUUUGUAAUGAAUUAAUUCCUAACCAAGAUAGCCACAAUAGGCAAACAAUUAGAAAUAUUAGACAUGAAUUUACAGGGUACCUUGGCUAUUUGUUUCAUUGAUGCCUGAAAUUCCAUAUUGGGUUUUUAUUUUUUAUGUCAUUUUUAAUUUCAUGUCAUUCUUUUGGUUUCCACUCAUUCAAAUAUAAAUAUCUCUGAGAAUAGCAAUUACUCCUAAGUCCAUACAUUGAGUAUACCCUCAGAAUUAUAUCAGAAAUUUUUCUUGUGAACACUUUUUGGUAGAGAAAAAAGCACCUGAUGUGGUAGGAGGGGUGGAAGUGAUGCUACUGUCCUUGCUGCCAACUUCCUCUACAGUGACUGCCCCUGCCACUGUGGGCUUCCUAAAGAUGGGGGUCUUCGUUCCUAAAGGAUGAUUCGGAGAGCCCCUUCUUACUGUGUUCUACCUGGCAGGAGUUGAGUUAGGCAUUUCAGAUGUAUUCAGGCAGGAAUUUCUCACAAUAACCCUAUGAUGUUGGCAUUAUUAUUAAUGUUCUACAGAUGAAGACUUACAGACUUAGAGGAUCAGAGUGGUAAAGAAACUAGCUCAGAAAGAGCUGAAUUGGAAUCCAGGUCUGUCUGCCUGACUCAAAGUCUGUGGGUUUUUUUGUUUUGUUUUUUUUGAGACGGAGUCUCGCUCUGUCACCCAG
rnacentral:lncRNA from 1 species